GAUGAAGAACGUAUCGAAAUGCGAUAAGUAGUGUGAAUUGCAGAAUUCAGUGAAUCAUCGAAUCUUUGAACGCACAUUGCGCCCCUUGGUAUUCCAUGGGGCAUGCCUGUUCGAGCGUCAUUUGUACCUUCAAGCUCUGCUUGGUGUUGGGUGUUUGUCUCGCCUCUGCGUGUAGACUCGCCUCAAAAUAAUUGGCAGCCGGCGUAUUGAUUUCGGAGCGCAGUACAUCUCGCGCUUUGCACUCAUAACGACGACGUCCAAAAGUACAUUUUUACACUCUUGACCUCGGAUCAGGUAGGGAUACCCGCUGAACUUAAGCAUAUCAAUAAGCGGAGGA
rnacentral:misc_RNA from 1 species